rnacentral:rRNA from 1 species
GACGAACGCUGGCGGCGUGCUUAACACAUGCAAGUCGAGCGGAAAGGCCACUUCGGUGGUACUCGAGCGGCGAACGGGUGAGUAACACGUGAGUAAUCUGCCCCUGGCUUUGGGAUAGCCACCGGAAACGGUGAUUAAUACCGGAUACGACCACUUCUCGCAUGGGAUGGUGGUGGAAAGUUUUUUCGGCCAGGGAUGUGCUCGCGGCCUAUCAGCUUGAUGGUGAGGUAAUGGCUCACCAUGGCUUCGACGGGUAGCCGGCCUGAGAGGGUGACCAGUCACACUGGGACUGAGACACAGCCCAGACUCCUACGGGAGGCAGCAGUGGGGAAUAUUGGACAAUGGGCGGAAGCCUGAUCCAGCAACGCCGCGUGAGGGAUGACGGCCUUCGGGUUGUAAACCUCUUUCAGCAGGGACGAAGCGCAAGUGACGGUACCUGCAGAAGAAGCACCGGCCAACUACGUGCCAGCCGCCGCGGUAA